rnacentral:rRNA from 1 species
AGUGAACGCUGGCGGCAGGCCUAACACAUGCAAGUCGAGCGGCAGCGCGGGGGCAACCCUGGCGGCGAGCGGCGGACGGGUGAGGAAUUCGUCGGAAUCUGCCUUUUUGUGGGGGAUAACGUAGGGAAACUUACGCUAAUACCGCAUACGUCCUACGGGAGAAAGUGGGGGACCGCAAGGCCUCACGCAGAAAGAUGAGCCGACGACCGAUUAGCUAGUUGGUGGGGUAAAGGCCCACCAAGGCGACGAUCGGUAGCUGGUCUGAGAGGAUGAUCAGCCACCCUGGAACGGGAACACGGCCAGACCCCCUCGGGGGGGCACCAGGGGGGAAUAUGGGACAAUGGGCGAAAGCUUGACCCACCAAUGCGGGGUGGUUAAAGAGGGCCUCCGGUUGGUAAAGACCUUUUGUCCGGAAAGAAAUCCCUGGAGCUAAUACCUUCGGGGGAUGACGGUACCGGAAGAAUAAGCACCGGCUAACUUCGUG